GACGAACGCUGGCGGCGUGCUUAACACAUGCAAGUCGAACGGAAAGGCCCUGCUUUGUGGGGGUGCUCGAGGGGCGAAGGGGUGAGUAACACGUGAGUAACCUGCCCUUGACUUUGGGAUAACUUCAGGAAACUGGGGCUAAUACCGGAUAGGAGCUCCUGCUGCAUGGUGGGGGUUGGAAAGUUUCGGCGGUUGGGGGUGGACUCGCGGCUUAUCAGCUUGUUGGUGGGGUAGUGGAUUACCAAGGCUUUGACGGGUAGCCGGCCUGAGAGGGUGACCGGCCACGUUGGGACUGAGAUACGGCCCAGACUCCUACGGGAGGCAGCAGUGGGGUAUAUUGCACAAUGGGAGGAAGCAUGAUGCAGUAAAGCAGCGUGCGGGAUGACGGGAUUCGGGUUGUAAACCGCUUUCGCCUGUGACGAAGCGUGAGUGACGGUAAUGGGUAAAGAAGCACCGGCUAACUACGUG
rnacentral:rRNA from 1 species